rnacentral:rRNA from 1 species
UACGGAGGGAGCUAGCGUUAUUCGGAAUUACUGGGCGUAAAGCGCACGUAGGCGGCUUUGUAAGUUAGAGGUGAAAGCCUGGUGCUCAACACCAGAACUGCCUUUGAUACUGCAUCGCUAGAAUCGUGGAGAGGUAAGUGGAAUUCCGAGUGUAGAGGUGAAAUUCGUAGAUAUUCGGAAGAACACCAGUGGCGAAGGCGACUUACUGGACACGUAUUGACGCUGAGGUGCGAAAGCGUGGGGAGCAAACAGG